ensembl:lncRNA
GUGCGCCAGCCGUAACAGAAGGAGUGAAAGUUUUUGAUAGUUCAGGGACUGAGUUGGAUGAGGAUGUUUUUGAGGAUAUAGUAACAGAUCCCUCAACCGGGGUACUAACCAUCAAAUAUGAAACAGGUUUGUUUGAGUGAUUUGUGUUUCAUUGGAUGUCUUUUUUUUUUUUUUUGGUGUCAUUAUUACAUUGUUUAAUCAAAGAGUGUAUAAAAUGAGUCUAUGGAGGGACCAUGUAAACUAAUUUGUUUUGCUUCUAUUUUUAAGGUCUGGAAACAUCUGUUGCAGAAGUGUCUCCUGAGCGGUUCCAGUUAUCAUCGCCACAUUCAUCAGAUUCACAGGAUACGGUCAUCCUUUCAGACAGCCCUUUGAGGAAACGUCAGAAGCUGGAUGCAGAAGCUAAGCAAUUGGUGGAAUCCAUUCUCACAAGCAAACCUGGUGGAGAACGUAUAAUAAAUGAGUACAAUCGGACCAAGUCCCUGGUGGAUGAAACCAGAAGAAAAAUGGUCAACAUACUGGUAGCUGACAUGACAGAAAAAAAUGGUACAUCACCACCACGGCAGGUAAAAGAAAUGUAUGCCAGAGGAAUUGUAACCUUUUUCCCUUACCUCAGUGACCCGUACUCAAAAAAUGGCUAUGAACAUUAUUAUGAUGGCGAGAGUGGCACUGGGUACUUGGCCUGGAGGAUUAAAACCAUACAGAGAUGCACUGCUAAAGAGAGGCGAUUAACAUCUGGAGCACCAGGAGAUGGAUCAUCGGGUGAAGACCAGUGUGGUGGACCAACUGUCAGACAAGAGUUGCAGUUUGUUACAGAGAAGAUGCUGAGUGAGGAUGAGUGCAAGGAAGCAAUCUCUCUGAUGGAACAUUCAGCUGAUGAGGACACAGUCAAGAAGAUGAAGUUGACAUUUGUUUAUCGACACAACAUGGUCCUUGACCUCCUGCUGUCACGCAACAUACUGUCUGUGUUUCCACGUUUCAAAGAUAUCAAAGGCUUGAUCGAACAGGAUUUUGUACUGAUGUUUGGUGAGGAUGUAUCAGGCAGGUUGCUGGAGAGGUGGCCAACAACAUUCAAAAGAAAGAUUAUCCAACAAGGCAGAAAGCUUCCUUCUACCAGUGACCUGGAAGAACUCUUGCUGGCAGCUGACUCUCCUGAGGAUGCCACUGAAGUUAAUGCUGACACUGGCUGGGACAGUGACCUCUCAGCGAUUCUAUUGCUAUUACAUUUGAUUCCACCAUCUGGUCAGGGUCGGAAGAGACCAGGAAAGGUGUCAGCUUCUCAAGCAGAAAGGCAUCUUGUGGUCUUCAAGAAGACUGGAACAAAUAUCCAAGAGCACCUUGAUGCCAUCACUACCAGCACUCAACCCUACCUCCUGGCUGUUGGGGUGAAAAAGCAUGACAUCCACCAGUUCUUCAUUAUUCUUGACAAGAAUGCCAUACCAUGCAAGUCUACCUCUUCACUUGGUGCUUUUGAUGAACUGUUUAAAGCACAUUUUGUGUUUGGCACAUCUUACAACACCAUGCUUCACAACAUGUACACGUUCAUCCAAACCACUGUGUACAAUAUAGAUGUUGGCAAAAUCAAAGAAA